rnacentral:rRNA from 1 species
CCCUUAGAUGUCCUGGGCCGCACGCGCGCUACACUGAUGCAUUCAACGAGUUUUUCCUUGGCCGAGAGGCCUGGGCAAUCUUUUGAACGUGCAUCGUGAUAGGGAUAGAUUAUUGCAAUUUUUAAUCUUGAACGAGGAAUUCCUAGUAAACGCAGAUCAUCAAUCUGCAUUGAUUACGUCCCUGCCCUUUGUACACACCGCCCGUCGCACCUACCGAUUGAAUGGUCCGGUGAAGCCUCGGGAUUGUGGCUAGUUCCCUUCAUUGGGAGUUGGUUGCGAGAACUUGUCUAAACCUUAUCAUUUAGAGGAAGGUGAAGUCGUAACA